ACUGCUCUCAGAGAGCUUAAACUACCGCGAUAAUUUUGCUUCAGGGAGAGGAGGAAAGAAUCAGCACGUUAAUGUGGGCCCUGCAAGGUGACCUGACCUGACAUAAAGAUUGUUGGCCUAAUUAUUAGAAGAGUUGGAUGCCCGGCCUGACUCUGCUCCUAGCCGGCUCUGUGAAUGUGUCUUUCACUCCCUGAACCUCAGCUUCUUCAUUUGUGCCAAGAGGGCAUUAAACUGGGUAUAAAGUGGUCUCUCCAGCCGCUGCAGCAGUUAUAAGUGUUCUCUGCUUUGUUUGCCAAAAGGACUGUGCAGGC
rnacentral:lncRNA from 13 species